rnacentral:sRNA from 1 species
AGCUCUUUUUAGAUUGUCCUCUUGAGACCUGUUUACAGAGGAAUGGCCAGAGGCCACAGGCACUGCCUCCUGAGACCAUCCACCUGAUGGGAAGAAAGCUAGAAAAGCCCAACCCUGAGAAAAAUGCUUGGGAACACAACAGCCUCACAAUUCCGAGUCCAGCAUGUGCUUCAGAGUCCAGCCUGGAGGUGACUGAUUUAUUGCUCACUGCUUUGGAAAAUCCAGUAAAAUAUGCUGAGGACAAUAUGGAACAAAAGGACACAGACAGAAUUAUUUGUUCAACUAACAUUCUUCAUAAAACUGAUCAGACACUCCGAAGGAUUGUAUCUCAGACAAUGAAGGAAGCAAAAGAUGAACAAGUGCUUCCUCACAACUUGAAGCUUCUAGCAGAAGAACUUAACAAGCUCAAAGCAGAGUUUUUGGAAGACCUAAAACAAGGAAACAAAAAAUAUCUGUGCUUUCAUCAAACCAUUGACAUAUCAGAUGUCAUUUCUUUUUUUCAUUAUGAGAAAGAUAAUAUUGUACAGAAAUAUUUUUCAAAGCAGCAUUAAAAUUUCUGAAUUGCCAAUCAAUGUCUCAUUUUGUAUGAGAACGCAUAUGGGCUUCCAGAUGACGCUCAUAAGCAGAUGCAAAUGGACAAAGAUGACAUCGAUGAGGUUUUUCACCUGUUUCAGAAGAAAAAUGAUGGAGAAACUACAAGAGUAGUUCAUUUAUGGAAAGUUUUGCUUGUCCAUUCAUUGGACAAUUGGAAAUUGAUCAAAAAGAAAAUGCUUUCAGAAAGUCAUAUUUGCAUAGCAUACGAGAUUGUUAAAAUUUGUAAAUAAACACACAAACUGAAAUAAAGCUUAAGAACUCAUCAGCAACAACUUGA